GAGGUCAGCUUUUCUCCCGCGCAGUGAUAUGUUCACAGUUUAAGUUCCUUCCUUCCUUGGGAUGUCAACGAAUGUCGCUUCAACACACUGUGCAGAGACUUUCCAAGAUCUUGUGGGUUUUAAAUGCACGGAAAUAGCCUCCUGCAGCGUGAGGGACAAGUUGUGAGACAUUGAUGUUUCAUCUUCUGACACAGAGCCGAUGUGUGCAGUUGAGUCAAUGACAAAUUGGACCGUGGGCAUCCAGAGUUUUUGCAGAUUAUAGUCAGAACUGAUGCAAGACAAAGUAUAGAAGAACCAGAUUUUUCCUGCAUUUCUG